UCGGACGUGGUGCACGGUGCACGCCCGCUCUCUCUGCCCCACGUCGACCCCUCGGUGAUGCGGGAGGCCUGGGUUCGACUCCCAGCGUCCGGA